UCAGGUGGGAUUACCCGCUGAACUUAAGCAUAUCAAUAAGCGGAGGA
rnacentral:rRNA from 2 species